UAAACGGCACUUUUUAGUGCCACCAAAUAAUAUUACGUAGAACACU
rfam:Dufourea novaeangliae contig584, whole genome shotgun sequence.